GUCUCGAAAUUUUGCACGUUUGCAGGUGAUAUGUUAUCCUGAUGCAACGUCAUGUUUAUUUUCGGAAAUUUACUUCAGCGGAGCAGUAAUGAGGGAUUUUUAAUCGGACACGGUCAAUUCUCCUUACAACUCACGGAAGCCAAGCCAUUGCUGUUUAGUUAUGCAGGGGAUUAAUGAAUCACCUGCACUCCCACCCCACAGGGUGACUAACACUACCUGUUGAACGGCUGGCUGUAGGGGGGUGAUUGGAACAGCCUGUACACGUGUUGACCUGCUGAACCAAGGUUACCAUGGUAUGUUUAUGAGCUCACCACAGCUCUCAAUACUUGAUCUGAAGAGGCGCGCUGAACCUGAAAUGGCCUUAUCAGGGAGCUGCUCACGGUGCUGAACUUCUAGCUUGCCUGUCGAUCUGUUGAAGGAAGCAUCCUGAAAUAGACAUCUCCUAGGAGUACGAUUUUAAGCAAAGAAAGACAAGUUACGAAAAGACAAGACAAGACAAGAUGAGGACAAAGGCGAAGAGGUUGAUAGAGACACGGCGUUGUAGGAGGCGCCAUAGGGCAUCGAAUGCAGCAAUGAGAACAAUGCUCAAGAGCGGACACGUGCGGAGUGGAGGUGUCGAGGUGGUGAGCGACGACGAACGAGAAGUAGGCCUACAACCCGCAUGGAGACGACUCACGCCCCAGGAGUACGGACAGGUCACAACGAUGGGACACGACGGCAAAAGACACAUACCGGAUAUUAAUAACCGUACUGCCAAGAAUGUCAACUUACUACGGGUCAACAUGAAAGAAGACACUGAUGAUGAGAUAGAGAUACCAGAUGAGACCAUGGAGCAUGAUCACGAGAGUUUCGUUGUUCAGACAACCAAACUGAUGGAUGUGCUCAACGACGUUAACAGGGCCCAUAGCGAAUAUCACGUGAACUGUCAGCCGAUAUUCAAAUAUGGAGAGGUACGGAAGCAGGGCGUAUGUUGUUCAGUCACUAUGGUGUGUAAAAACUGUGGUUUUGAUUCGAAAUUGUAUAAACAUUUUGAGGACAUAGACACUGGCAAGCGCGGACGAAAAGCCGCUCUUCCAAAUGUUGCAUUACAGAUUGCGUUGUAGGACACAAUGAUUGGCAACGAGAGUAUGAGUUACAUACUGAGCAUGAUGGGAAUCCCGCCCCCCUGUAGGAGUAUCAUGCAAAAGCAGGCAAAUAAAGUUGGUGAAGAAACAGUUAAAAUGAAUGUGGCCGAUAUGGCAGACAUAUGUGACAACUUGAAAAGGAUACUGCGCCUAAGAAAUCAGGACGACACAGGAAUCAAUGUCCAAGCUGAUGGACGCUAUAAUAGCUUACACCUCACUUCGAGGAACAAGACUGGAGCACAAUGACUGGAUUAUGUGUUGAAAAUGUGACAGAUGAACACAAAAUCAUUGACAUUGAGGUUAAAACAAAACUCUGCUGGAUAGGGGCUGCAAUGCGGGCGAAAGGUUUUGAAGUUAAAUGUUGUGCCACUGGCACAAACGUUGACGAACGACACUCGAAGUGCACGGCUAACUUUCCUGAGGCAGAUGCAUUCAGAGAAUAUGAUCUUGGGGUUGCAUUUGCCGAGACUUUUGAGAAACAGAGCCUACAUGUAGAACAUUUGACUACAGAUGGUGAUUCCAGUUCAUUCAAAGGGUUAACUGAUGCAACAAAAAAGCUCUUCGGCGGCUUGUUCACGGUGAAGCAUCAACUUGACUCUAUACAUUUGCAUCAAGCCCAGACGCGUGCAUGACAUAGAGCUGAAUUCAGUAAAGGUAUGUUCCCGGGACGUACUGCAGAGG